rnacentral:rRNA from 1 species
AGCAGCCGCGGUAAUUCCAGCUCCAAUAGCGUAUAUUAAAGUUGUUGCAGUUAAAAAGCUCGUAGUUGAAUUUCGGGGUUAGUAGGUUGGUCAUGCCUCUGGUAUGUACUGGUCUCACUGAUUCCUCCUUCCUUAUGAACCGUAAUGCCAUUAAUUUGGUGUUGCGGGAAAUUUGGACUGUUACUUUGAAAAAUUAGAGUGUUUAAAGCAAGCUAACGCUUGAAUACAUUAGCAUGGAAUAAUGAAAUAGGACGUUCGAUCUUAUUUUGUUGGUUUCUAGGAUUGACGUAAUGAUUAAUAGGGAUAGUUGGGGGCAUUAGUAUUCAAUUGUCAGAGGUGAAAUUCUUGGAUUUAUUGAAGACUAACUACUGCGAAAAGCAUUUUGCCAAGGAUGUUUUCAUUAAUCAAGAACGAAAUUAGGGGAUCGAAGACGAUCAGAUACCGUCGUAGUCUUAACCAUAAACUAUGCCGACUAGGGAUCGGAUGAUGUUAAUUUUUAAUGA